CCCUUACAUACUGUUUCAGGGUUCUGGCUGCCACUUUGAAAUCACGUGAGCUGGAAUAUGUGUAAUAGAGAUAAGUAUUUGAAGGAGGAAAGUUGAUUUACAAGUAACUGAACUCUCUGAGAACAUUUUUUCCUUGUACGUUCUCCAACAGCAAGGAUAGUUUAAUGUUUACCACUCCUUUCUCUUUCCAUCUGCUCAUCUCUUCUCAUUCAUUCCCUUUUUUUGCCACAAUUUACCACCCUUUGCUUCCCUCUUUUGCCAGUGUUAAUUGGAUCAGCUGGAAUGACAUUAGUGAAAUGAAUCAAGAUAAACACACUUUUUUAACCCAACAAACAAAGCGGGCAAGACAAACAGAGGAGGGCAAUUUCCUAAGCCUGUCUUAGUGCCAAAGCUAAUAUGCUAAGCUGUGGUUUGAGAAGCUGGGACGAUGCAGAGCUCUUAACACCACCCUGUUGUUGCAGUAAUAAGCAAAGAAACGGCAAUGUGUGCGAUGUGUAGCUAACGUUGGAAAGGUACAGAAGUACAGCAUGAAAGCUAGAGUGUUUGAGGUGUGCUUACACCCAUGGGGAAAGUGCAAACAGGGAACCUAACAGGAUUCCCAUACAGCUACGUCACUUUACCGUGGCACAAAAAAAGCAUCGUGACUUUGGCAUGAUGAUUUCAUGUACUGUUCUGGCUUUGCUCCUCUACCCUGGAGGAAGAGAAAAAUAUUCUUAUCUACUUCUCUUGUUUCUAGAGUGUGAAAUCCAUUCUGACAAUGUGCUGUGCCCCUAAAUCACUUGGGCAUCACUUAUGCUGCUUCUCGUGUACUGCUGUUAGCCCCGGUGCCUGGAUGUGGCUGAUCCAAUGUGCUACCCAAAAGCCCCAGUCAUAUAUGCCGUGGCUUUAGGGAGCCCUCUGUAUUUACUGAAUUUACUGGUUGUGAACAGUGACAUUCGUGAUGGCUGCCUCAAAGCUCAGCUCUGCAUCCUGUAGGACGGAACGCCGGGUGAUCUCAUGUGGUGCACAAUUCUUUCACAUGAGCUCUCACUACCUGCCUAGUGAGGCUGAGGCUGCAGUUCUGUAUAUCACAGAGAGGAAAGCUAUCAUUGUGCAAUCCCAACGUGAUGUAAGCAUUAGAAUGCAGGACUUGUUUGUCCCCAGCUCUAUCAUAGAUUUUUCUGUUGUUUUGAACAAAGUGUUCAAUGCAUCUGAUAUUUCUUUCUCUAGGUAUAAAUUAAGGUUCUAGUCUCAUUUUGGUAUUAAGAGAUAGAGUUCAUCCGUGUGCUGUGGUCUUGGUGCUGUGGAAGUGCAAAGCAUUAAUCUGGCGAUUGCACCACCUGUAUAUAUCCCAUGUCCAAGAGCCUCAAAGGCCUUUAGGUUUACUGGGUACUUUGAUGGCUGGCAGCAAGGAUUCAGCCUUUCAAAAUAUAACUCUGCACUGCAGAUGAAACUCCCAGGAGCUACCAAGUAGCUCGGGAAGAGCCUAAAUGUGGGAUUGUUGGCUGCAUGGGUCACGCAGCCUCACGGUGUGGCUCACAGCCCUGUCCCUGGGGAUGGAGCAGCGGCGUCAGGCCAAGGGAGCAGCGGGGGCCACAAGGAGGCUUUCUUCCCUCAGACAAAUGGAUUUAGUGCAGGAGAGAAGAGGGAGGGAGGCUGAAGUGCCCUGUCCUUUUAGCAUCUGCGGCUGCAGGAAAGGGGGGAUUGCUGCUCCCUCUUCGCUUUUCCUGCAGGAGUGUGAGAGCCUCCUUGGUGGUGUCUGCACAGCUGGUUGUAAUUAUGCACUGCAGCUUCAGAGGAAGUUGCUGGCUGUGGGGAGCGUGCAAUGCUUGGCUGUGGACCCACUGCUUUUAUGGGUACAAUGGAGGUGGAGAGAGUAAAAGCAGUGGCACAGAGUGAAGGGGAGGGUGAGAGCCUAAUAACCCCCCACUUGAGCCAGCUGCCUUGCUGGAUCGUUACCUACUUGUGGAAGUCCCUUGGUAGAUGUGUAACACAAAACCCUUUAAAACUAGCUGGAAAACUAUUUAUUUCUUAUUUAUUUUACUACUCAAAAAAAAAAAAAAAAAGUUUGGAAAAAAAAUUACAUUGAUCUGACAUAUUGCAAUGACUAUUUUUGGUGUUACCAUUUAAAAUUCUGCAGUUAUAAAUAAAGCUGCUCAAAAUGCAGCUAUUUUGAUUCUCGCUGGGGUUCACGCAAGCAUUUUCCUUGGUUUCUAUCAUUGGAUCGAGCCCUCCAUUCAACGCUGAUCCUACUUUGAAGGCAGAGGAUUCCUUGGUUUUAACUGCGAGUUAAAAAGUGUUUGCUGACUCCAGACCCUAAGGUGCUGCAUCAUCACAUCAGCAGUCCUGAAUUUCUGCGAUGGGUUUCUGCUGUUCUUCAUACCUCAUACUUCAGGAGAGCAUUGUAUGUGGUGAGGGAGCUAUGUGGAGGUAACGAGGCAGGGCAGAGCUGCAGCAGUGAGUGGUUCCCAGGAAUGUAUUCGUAUGUCCUUUGCUGCUAUUUUGCGCAGUAAGCGGUGUGGAUUUUCCUGUACUGGUUUUCUGUGUUUGUGUUGUUUGGCCGUUGCAGAACGAUCAGGUAAUUCAACAAGGCAGUAGAAAACGCCAAUGGCAAAGAAUCUGCAAAGACCUACUUAUAUAUAUUCCUUCCAAUACAUCGUGGUGUAAGAAGCCUAGUAGAGACAAGAUAGAUGAGGGGAUUGGGUGCUUUGGUGGUCCCGAAUAAUACCUAGAAGACUAGCUGUAACUGGUGACGGUAAAAGCAGCCACAGCUUGCUGUGGAGGCAUUUUUAUGCAGGCAUCCAAUCAAAAGGGUAUGGGGCAUCUUUUUUUUUUUUCCUACAGUUUAUUAUCAAUUUUCAUGAAUGGUUUCCCCAAGCCCAAUUAUGAGGUUGAAGAAAACAGCAUUCAGAUUCUUUAAAGUUCCUUGCCAGUUUUUGAAGAGAUUGGAAUUUUAACCUGAGUAAUGAUUACUAUUAAAAGGCUGUUUUUCUUCAGCCUGAAGUUCUGGUAGCUUGACUAAAAACAAGGACUGCUGUGCAGUUAUGACCUUGAGCUGGUGACUGUUCAACUACAAAGCUAAGGUGCUGCUUGUGAGGAAGUAUCUGUACCUAUGAAAAAAGGCUCUGCUACUCCAGUUUCAUCCUACAGACCCUGAGUGCCUUUAACUAUUCUUUUUCAACAGCUGUAAGAAGUUAUGAUGCAAAAGGUAUUGUGAACAUUUCUUUAAAGAUUGGCACAACAAUCCAUCUCUUAAGGGUCCUGUAUUGUAUGAACACCUUUAAGUAUUCCACCAUCAAGCAAACACAUAAAACUAUGUAUCAUGGUAUUUCUAGCUGACAGUUGUUGCAUGCCUUCCUGUUUUUAAUGCAUUUAAGGACUCUUGCUGAGACAAGUGGGGAGUUAUGAGUUGAGCUGAGUUUAAGGGGUCUGCGAUCAGGAGGCAGAUUGAGCCACAGCAGUGCCUAGAUACUGUGAUGUUUUUUCUCACUUUCUUUCACUCAUAGAAUAAGUAUUUAGGAAUGAGUAUACCCUGAUGGACAAUAUUUGGGAAUAUGUACUGCUGAUGGAUGUAAGUCUACUUGUUCACUUGGUUAAAAUAUAUAUCUUCUAUCUGUGUAUAAACACAAGGUAACUUUGGAGCUUUCAGUAGAAUUACUCCAGAGGAGCCUCACUCCAAAUCCUGUCACAUCCCUAGAUACUUCUUAAGGUUGUCCUAGAUCUUGUCUCCUAACCAGUCCAGGGACUUGCUGCUAUGCCCAUCUGACCAUGCAUUAGGUUUCUGUGGACAGAAGCCCGUGGAAGUAAAAGGCUGACCUCAGCAUGGAGUUAAGAUGCAGUCAAGACCAAGGAGCCCAGAAGAACUCAAACAUCUCCUAGUUUACGUAUAGGCGAGGUCCCCUGUGCAGAUGGCAGGUAAAGAGAGGAAAUCUGUAGGUCAUAAAUCUGUAUUUACUUGACUGAAUAAAUAACCCCAUUGUUGGAGAUUUAAAAACAAACAAAAUCCCAACAACUGUAUCUUCACAUUAGAGAAACAAGCAUUAUUUUAUGGGACGUCCAUAAGUAAGCGAGGUGCCUUCGGGUACUUGGCUUGGGCAUGCAGUGUGAUUGACUGUUUGGCCCAGAGACGUUUGGUCUGGUUUUUAACCAUGAAGAAAUUACUUCUAGUAACAUUUCCCAAACAGUACUAAUGCCAGUAGUACAUACUUCUUAGCUGAUAUGUUGAAAGAAAUUAACACAACAUUUCCAUUCUUGAGUUAUUGAAGUCACCGAGUUAUUAAAGCACAGAAAAUACCUGAAACUGAAACCAGAAAAGUGAGAUUUUUCCACACUUAAAAAAAACAAGACUGCCCAUGAACAGAACCUUUCAUACCAAAACACACUCCCACAGCUUCUGAAACUAUAAAAGAAACAAAAGAAGAGGAAAAGAAAGGGAAUUUUACUGUAACUGGGAGCAAUGGCAGAUUUUUAAGAGUAAGGAAUAAGUAUGGAUGCUGACAGUGGUUCUUAAUGUCUGAGGAUGAGUUUUUGUUUAGGCAUGAAUAACUGAAGAUGCAGGAGAAAUUCUCUUAAUGGGAGGAGAAGUAAUGCUGGAGAAGCGGUCUGAAUUUAUUUCACGCAAUACUUUUUUAAUAACAGUGUCGAUUAAAGACACCUGCUGAAGGUCUGUAAUGCUGGUUUACUGGGGAGAAAAAAUAACAAAGUUCUUUAGCCAUCCUGUCUUCGGUUCAAUAUUAUGGACUGUUAAAAGGGGGUUUAUGUGUGCAGUGUUAUUAACCGAGAUUCUGCUCAAAUUGAAGUCAGGCCCACAAACCUUGCUUUCUAUAGGACCUUGCUAGGUUUCUAAAAGAAGAAUUUAAAACUGUACAAGAUAAUUAGUACAUUCUUGCUUUAUUUAGGAUAUUUUAAAGGCAGUCAGUCUUGGUAGAUAUGUUUCUGAACACUUGUGCUCUCUCUUAUCACAUGUGAUUUCUUUCUAGUGAGGUUAAAGUGCAACAAAAAUGGACCAAUGUCCUGUACGAAGUCAUUACUAUUACUAGAGAGAAGAAGAAAAUCCACCUCCAAAGUGACCAAAGUAUAACUUGUAAUAGAGCACCCAAUAUUUUCUGCUGGCUUUGUCAAGGCUAGAAGAUAUGGGCUCAGUUAUGAGACACGUUGCGGCAGAUGGCGAUGGGUACGGAACCCCAAAGACUGUGGCCUGGAAAAGAAAUUGAAGUCUGAGUUUAUAGCGAGCGCAAUGUUGUCUAACUGUGUUUAAUAUCGCCAUUUGUUUAAGCUUAAAUUAUGACGAUGAAGAUAAAGUAAUAACACACUGCGUUUUCAUCACUUGAGUUUGGAGAGGCCUCGUCUUUUUCCGUGCCUGUAGCCCUGAUGAUGAUUCCUUUGGCAGCUCUGCCGGCGAUAAGAGGAAUAACUCACCGCUGUCAGGGAAGCUGGCUGUUUCAUCACUGACAUGAGAGCCCGGCGUAACUCCGUGGUGAUCGCUGUCUAAAUGACUUAUGUAAUUUCUUCAUCUACUUUUUGAUUGAGGAGUGAUAACUCAGGCGAUGAGUUAUUUGGCAUCAGCCUCAGAGACAAUCUGUUUUCCUUAAAUAAAUCCUGAGGCACCUUUCAGCCACCCAGUUUUAAAAUAAGCCUGUAGUGGAUCGGGUCUGAUGUGCUUGGCAGAUUUGGCCAAAGGAUGAAGUUAGGGUUUGCUGUCAUUAUUCCGCUUUGUUUAUUGUUCUGUCGUUAAAUGAGAGUUCUAGAUGUAGUACUGAGGAAAAUGAGAAGUGGGGCGAAAGGCAGUUUUUGUGUUACAGCACAGGGGCAUGGCAGGGCAUUUUGUCCCUGCUGGCAGAGGCACUAUUUUGCUCAAAAGCACACAGUGUUGUCCAAGAACCAGAGAGGAAAAUGCACACCAACACCAGCCUGGAUCCGUAGCCUGGGAUGUGGGUGAUGUACCCCAGAGAAGGGAAAAGAGUAAUCAAUUUUUCUUCUACAGCUGAAUACAAAUCAUAGCUCAGAGUAUCUGCGUCUGAGGUUUAAAUGUAGAGUGCCAUUACACAAGGUAGCAAGUUGCUGCGUGUUACAUUUAGUAUGCAACAGGUUGAUUUACGCUGUGAGCCUGGCAGGAUUUCAGGCAAGGUUUUGCCACUGAUUUGUUGGGAACAGAAAUGGUUUCCUUGCUGAAAUCACAAAGAUGGGAGCCUUGGCUUGAGUUUUAUUUGCAGGGUUCCUAACGGAGCUGUGGAGUGCUAAAUAUAACCUGAAGAGCUGCGGAGGUGGUGGGUGUUUCAGGCUUCACCUUCGUUAAUAUCUGCUGUACACGUGCCUUUAUUAAAGCAAGACAAUUCAAUCUUACAGAAAGGGUUGAAGUUAAUGUUUACGUUAAACUAAUCAACUUCCCGUGUUUCUCUUUUUCAACACUUUCAGGCUCUUUAGUUUAGACAGAGCAGUCGGUGACGGGUAUAAGCAAGCUUUACGGUACUUACGUUACAUGCAUAGGGCUCCAGUUAGGAUCUACAUCCCUUUGUAGCAGGUGUUAUGCACAAGUGCCUGGCGUGUUUUCUUUUUGAAAGUGUGCACAAUGCAAGCAGCAUCUUCAUCAGGCUUGUGUCUUCAUUUGGGUCACCGGAGCAAAGAUACCUACUCUCUUCUCAGUUCUGUUUACACUUUGAAAUGACAGUGCAGCGUUGUAUGGUUACUUUCAAAUAGCUCUUAACUAUGCAAAGGUUAGUAUUCACCAAAGGAAAAAAGGAAUUGAAUGAUAAUAGAUUUUAUGUGGGAGGCUCAGCCUUGGAUCUGAGAGCAGUCACCCAAAACAAGCGAGAAGAGAGUUCUGACGAAGUGUUGUCAUUCUUUCUUUUCUCUCACUUUAUGCUGACCUUUUUCUGUUUUUUCCAUUACAUGUGCAUAAGUAGAUUUUUAUUGGUAUUUUCCUUGUAGUUUAGGAGGUGUUCCUUCAUGGAAAAGUGGGACGUGUGGUCUUCCUCAGUGUCCAGAAACAGACUGCUGUGCUGCACAGAAUCAAAAAACUAACAGAAUUUGUGGCAACAGGUGAAGCAGGGUUUCAGCUCCACCCUUCCCCACACGCAGGGAGUGCUUCAGAUGGAAAGCAGCCUGCUGCGUACCCCUGUGAGCAGUACUGGGAGCACCCCCUGUGGGUGUGGACACACCGUGCAUUCUGAGAGGUAGAGUUCUGGAGUGGUCCGUUGGUGUGCAACCUUCUCAUUCAUAGUAGGGUGUCGCUGAGUGCUCAUUCACACUGUGCUCAAAGUAGGUUCUGAUCCACUUUGGAUUCUGCCCACGUGGGAUUUGCACAAAGGUUCAAACUUUCGAAUCUGAAUUUGCUUUCUGUGAUCCUGACAGUUAGAUUUAUUGAUGUUUGAUAUUCCAACCUGACAGAAACUCGCUGUAAUUUUUAAAUUCCUAUUUAUUCUUUCUCCACAGCAAAAUCUGCCAAUCAGGGCCAAUCACAUGAGUGAUUCUGCGGAGGCUGAAGCAGGAUUGCCGAACUCAUUGUCAUGCGUGGCUAAACAGAGAAUUGAACCUUGUGAAAGGUUAGUGAUUUUAGAUAAUUUUAAAACGAUUGCACAGGAGGUGAUACAGCUGCUGUCAGUCUACCCUAAUCCUGUUCUCCGCUGGAUCUGCCCUUGCAGAGGCACUGCUUUCUCUCAGUGAUUAAGGGGAGACAUUGCUUUCAGAGGUGCUGAUUCAGCAGAGCAAAGAGUCAGUAAAUUAGCAAUGACUGUAAGGGAAUUUUAAAUAUUGGUAGAGUACCAAACUUCUACUGUUAUAGUGUCUUGGAGAAGAAAUUCUAAUUAAGUUACUCUACCAGGCAGUGUGGGAGAGAUGACAGUCACAAUACAGAAUAAUGGGGAAACUGUAUAUCCGGGUUUUGGGUUCUCAGUGUCACUGCUACAACGUGAUGCUAAAGGACCAUGAAAGAAUAACCAAGUGUAGCUGUAUAUGUUCUACUGGACUGUUUAUGUAGUCACAAAGUGAUACAGACUCUUGAUAUGUAAAUUAAAACAAAACAAAACAAAAAAACUGUCAUGACAGAAUGCAACAUCCUACAUACUAUCAUUUGCAUGUCUUGAAAAUACAAAUUGUUUGGUUAGUGAGACAAGUAACUCUACCCCUAAACUUAAAUAGUGAUCAGUCAGUGUGCUGACCUUGAAGCAAUACGCCAGUUACUGUGAAAAAAUAGUGGAGACGCAAUGACAGUGUAGAUCACUAUGCAAAGUGACCAUACUAACAGGUUAUCUUCCUGUGGAUGAGACAUGCAAAAGUAAAACACUUUUUUACCUGACUUAUGUAUGGGUAACAAACUGAUAGAAGAAAUGUGAGUCAGCAAGCAUAGAUAGGUGAAGUGGGAAGGAAGGGAAUGACUGUACGUCUCGUAGGACAAAGAAGAAGUAAACAAAAAAACUGCACAUGAUAUUUUUCCAUGUUAUGCCCUGGAAAAGUUAAAAAUGCUGUUAUCAUUUUCUAUUUAGAGGUGUUUUUACUAGGCUGUGUAUUUAUGCAAAGAGAGUGCUUUGGUAUUCUUGGUCAGAAGUGCUAGAUUUCUGUAGGAUAUUUACCACAUAAAUCAUGGCAACAACAGGUUUUGUGUCUGCAUUACUUUACUCGAUCAGAGAACUUUGCUGAGAUAAGAAAUGUAAACCAGGCUGAAGCAACUUAGAAGUUAUCUUAAAAUAUCUAUUGCAUGAAAAUUGUGCCGUUAUAUUGCCACAACACAAGUAUUUGUUAUAUUUAGACAAGGUAUGGACUGAAAAUGGGGACGUAAACACCCCAUGUGAGCACAUUUACUAUCAGAAAAUCAACUGUAAUUACAAUAGCAUGAUUUGUAAGCAAUACUUUCAAUAGUCUGCAGAGUUACUUGUUCCUGGUAGGCAAAGAUAACUGUAGAGGUAGCAGAGUGAAAUGAAGAAUCAUAGGUACUACCUUUUCUUUGUUACUUCAUUGUUCCAUGGCUCAUGUUUUCUCAACAGUAAUAAUGCUUAGAAGGGUUUGAUAGCUGCAAGCAAUAAAUACUAGUUAUCUUCAGUGUCUGUUUCUGGCAAACUCUGAAACAAGGUCAAGGAAGAACCAGAAAUUCUUUUGUAGUUGCUUCCUAUUUUACCAGCUACAUCUGUUACAUAUUUCAAUUUGCACUGUUAUAUAUAAUGAAUACAUACCUAUACACAUGUAGGUACGUAUAUAUACGUGUAUAUAUCUUGCUGAACUUUAAGGCUGCUUUUCAGGAAUGGCUGCAACAGUCUUGGGUUCAAUAUUUUUGAAGAGCUGUAGAGGCCAAAAUAUCCACCACUAUUGUAUUCAUUUCAAUAUGACAAAACUUACUAAGAAGAAACAAAGAGUGACAUCCAAGACAUCUGUGAUCAUGGAAACUACAGAUUUCCAAGCAGGAAGCACAGUGCUUAUGUGCAUCAUUUAUUGGACGUUCCUGAGAGUAAACUGGAGCGGUCACGGCUGAUCAGCAAAGAGAGGCUUUCAGAAAGAAGAGUCAUUCUAAAACAUGAAAAGAUACCUAAAUGUUGAAAAGUGAAAGGACCAUAAGCACCGACAGGUGUAGUAUUAAAGAUAUUAUUGGGCAGAGCACAGGUGAGACUGAAACCUAACUUAACAAGAGAAUCCUUCUUCCCACACAUCAGGAAGGGAAAACAUUGUCAGUGAGUCUGCAUAUGAAAAGGGUAUAAAGUGAACCCUCAGGGAGGACAAAGUCACUGGAAAAAACCUGAACUCUUUGUCUCCUUGUUCUCUGUGGAAUAAAUUGGGGAAAUUCUCCCACCAGGGCCCUUUUCAGGCAUUCAGGGAACUCCACAGAGUAUUACUUGUGAAUUGUAUCUGAAAAAUGAUACAAAAGAGAUGACUCUCUAGGAUUUGAAGAAUUCGUCAAGAGUUCUAGGAGAACUCAGGGAUGAAAUAUCUAACAGCAGCACGUAACCUGUCACUUCAUUGUUCCUCUGUAUGUGAAAAUCAGAAGGUGUCAAAUGAGAUGUCAGUCAUGAAGAAAGGCUCCAGAGGUAGCCAGCAAAAUAAAAUUAGACAUCUGUUCUGGGUGAACAAGUAGAUAUUGUAACAAGCAAUCAAAUUAGUAUCUACCUGAAUAAAUAUGAUCUAAUUAGUGAGAGUUAACAAAGCACUUGGAUUUGUUUGAAGAGGUCAUUGACGUGUAGAUGAAAACCAUCUAACUGAUGCGGUCAACUUGGAUUUCCAAGAGGCUUUUGACAGAACUUAUCAAAGUGUUUCAGGAAAACCAAGCAACAUAAGACUGUUGCUGGCAUAAGAAGGAAAGCCUUGAAAUGUGAUUUGAAAGACUUGAACUCUAGAUAGACCACCACUGGAUUUAAGUGCACAUUCAUUUUUUUACACAGGAAAAUCAAUAGUGAAAUUCCAUACGGUGUCUUUGUUGGGACCUGUACCAUGAUAGUCUUAAAUCAUAGACUCAUAAAAUAGUUUGGGUUAGAAGGGACCUUAAACACCAUCUAAUUUCAUCCCCCGUGCCAUGGUCAGGAAUAGCUCCCACUAGACCAGAUUUCCCAAAGCCUCAUCCAGCCUGGCCUUGGCCACUAGCACAGAUGGGGCAUCCACAGCUUCUGUGGGCAACCUAUUCCGGUGCUCCACCAUCCUUGCUGUGAAGAAUUUCUUUACGUCUAAUCUAAACCUACUCUGUGGUUUACAACCUUUCAGUUUAAAACCGUUACCCCUUGUCUUAUCAAUGACCUGGAGGAGGGAAGUGAUUAGUGAGGUGGCGAAGCUUUGCUGAUGAUAGGAGGUUAUACAAGAGUCUAAGGACAGAGGCAGACUGUGCAAGAUGUUGUAAGGCUGUACACUAAAAUGAUGGGUGCAUCUCAGUGUAGAUAAAGGUAGGCAGAGUAGUACAGUCAGGGAAGGUUAAUCCUAUCUUCACUUCUUGGGCCAUUUCAGAGUUGGCCCAAAGGUCUUCAGGAACAUUUCGGUUACAGUAGACAGUUUCAUGAAAAUACUGGCUUAGUAGAGAAAGAAGGAAAAAGUUAUAGGUUAGGAUUUAUUAUUAAGCAAGUAGAGAACAAAAUGGAAAGGAUAAUUAUGUUGCUGUUGAAGUCCAUAUACCACUGUAAAAAUCCAAGGUUUGCAUGCUUGAAUACAGCAUGCAGUUCUAUCUUGGAAAAGGCAUGCUGGAACUAAUAAAUAUUCUUGGGAUAGCAGCGAUGAUUGGUCACAUACUGUGACUUCCAUACAGCAUACAAGGAACUUCAUACAUGGAAUAGUCGAAACUCUGGAAAGAUAUGACUGGGGAAAUGUAAGAAGGUAUCUGCAGAACUGAGAGGCCUGCAGAGCAGAGGAGUGGGCUUGGCUUUUUGCCUUCUCUCCUAAUACAAGAAUGAAGUAUACCGAAAGAAGCUGGUAAGGGUUUUAUCCAGAACAAACUGAAGGAACUAUUUCUUCAGGCAACCUGUGUGGACUAGUGGUGGUAUUCUUCAAAGAACUUUCUGGAUCAAGGAGUUUACGGGGACGCAAGGGGUAAAUCCUUGGAAGAGAUGCUGUAGAGUGGACUAACUAGAUAAUCGCAUCACCUAACCUGAAAAUGGAUGAAGGCUGGGAGGCCGUGAGCGUGUUUACCCUGUCCUUGCUUUUGCUCUCAGAGUUCUGUGAUAGAUGGACCCAUGGUCCGAUCCAACACUGAAGUUUGUACGUAACCUUCUUACACCAAAGCCAGGGUUAAAUAAAUGAAGUUACUAACUGCUUAAAUACAUUUGUAUCUUUCAAGCUCCCUAAGUAAUCAUAAUGUUACUGCAAGUUAGGACUGGAAGGGACCUUAAGGAGUGAACUAAUCCAUCCCCCUUCCAUGGUAAGCAAAAUCAAUUAUGU
ensembl:lncRNA